UACACCAAUCACAAUUAAAUUGCUUCAUCAAAAUGGGCCUCUAGAGUUUACCUAGCGUCGAAGAGAUUGAGGACUUAGCGUUUUUUAACAAAAAAAUCUUUCGGAAUACAUAGGGUUAUGACCUCUUUAUUAUAAUACUUUGACAAACUAUAUUCGCUAAAUCUUUCUUCCUUUAUUCAAGCUUUGAGUAAAAGUAAUGCGAGUUUCUGCUACUUUUCAAGGAUAACACUUUAAAUUUUAGAUUGGCUCGGAAAAUAUUUCGCUCAAACCACACUUCUUUCACUGGUAAGGUCUCAACGUUUAUAUAAGUUUGUUGCCAAUUGUAAAUAAGAGUUUAGACAAUGCUACAAGUAUAAAACAAUGCAUAAGCCCUGAUGAGGAACUCAAGCGAGUAUCGACUCAACGGCAAUAAAGAUUAUUUUAAGAACU